rnacentral:rRNA from 1 species
AUCCUGGGGCUGGAGUAGGUCCCAAGGGUUGGGCUGUUCGCCCAUUAAAGCGGCACGCGAGCUGGGUUUAGAACGUCGUGAGACAGUUCGGUCUCUAUCCGCCGCGCGCGUUGAAACUUGAAGGAAGGCUGUCCCUAGUACGAGAGGACCGGGACGGACGUACCUCUGGUGUGCCAGUUGUUCCGCCAGGAGCAGGGCUGGUUGGCUACGUACGGGAGGGAUAACCGCUGAAAGCAUCUAAGCGGGAAGCCUGUUUCGAGAUGAGGUUUCUUUUGAGGUUCCCUAGAGAUUAUGGGGUUGAUAGGCCAGAUCUGGAAGCACUGUGAGGUGUGGAGGUGACUGGUACUAAUUUACCGAUAACAACAAACCAC